rnacentral:rRNA from 1 species
AACGUAGGUGGCGAGCGUUAUCCGGAUUUACUGGGCGUAAAGGGUGUGCAGGCGGGUGAACAAGUGGUGUAUGAAAGGUUUCGGCUCAACCGAGAUAGGUUAUGCCAGACUGUUUACCUAGAGUGUGAGAGAGGGACGUGGAAUUCCGGGUGUAGUGGUGAAAUGCGUAGAUAUUGGGAGAACACCAGUGGCGAAGGCGGCCACCUGGACCGGUUCUGACGCUGAUGCGCGAAAGCGUGGGGAGCA